GAGUUUGAUCCUGGCUCAGGAUGAACGCUGGCGGCGUGCUUAACACAUGCAAGUCGAACGGACUCAUAUUGAAACCUAGUGAAGUAUGAGUUAGUGGCGGACGGGUGAGUAACGCGUGGAAAACCUGCCGUAUACUGGGGGAUAACACUUAGAAAUAGGUGCUAAUACCGCAUAAGCGCACAGCUUCGCAUGAAGCAGUGUGAAAAACUGAGGUGGUAUACGAUGGUUCCGCGUCUGAUUAGCUAGUUGGUGGGGUAAAAGCCUACCAAGGCAACGAUCAGUAGCCGGCCUGAGAGGGUGAACGGCCACAUUGGGACUGAGACACGGCCCAAACUCCUACGGGAGGCAGCAGUGGGGAAUAUUGCACAAUGGGGGAAACCCUGAUGCAGCGACGCCGCGUGAGUGAAGAAGUAUUUCGGUAUGUAAAGCUCUAUCAGCAGGGAAGAAAUACUGACCAUAGGGUCAGCAGACGGUACUUGACUAAGAAGCCCCGGCUAACUACGUGCCAGCAGCCGCGGUAAUACGUAGGGGGCAAGCGUUAUCCGGAUUUACUGGGUGUAAAGGGAGCGUAGACGGCAGCGCAAGUCUGAAGUGAAAUGCCAGGGCUUAACCCUGGAACUGCUUUGGAAACUGUGCAGCUAGAGUGCA
rnacentral:rRNA from 1 species